UGCCUAGGAUCUCUGUUGCAUUUAUGUAAAGCCCACAUAAAUGGCCAGUUGGCUGCAUGAAUUGACAAAUGCUGCAAGGUGUACAUAUGCAGUACAUGCAAUUUGUAUGUACUUUCAUCAACACAUCCAUUAAGAUCAGAACAAUAUAAAGGAUGAAUUGUGUGUGGAAGGUUAUCUUUCAUACUCGUAUAGUAUGACAAAAUUUUCGUUGAUGCUUCUUGUUGAAUGUUUGACUUAUCUAAACUCCAACGAAAAGCCAAACAUACCACACAUAAUGGAUCUACCCGUUGUUUCUCAAA
rnacentral:lncRNA from 1 species